rnacentral:rRNA from 1 species
GACCGAUAGUGAACCAGUACCGUGAGGGAAAGGCGAAAAGAACCCCGGCGAGGGGAGUGAAAAAGAACCUGAAACCGUGUACGUACAAGCAGUGGGAGCCCCACCACCAAAGCAUUCUCUGGUGUUGAAGGCCCUGCAAAGCAGCAUCGCGGUGGCGGAGCGUCGUUUGCGACGCCCAACACACAAAACAAGCGGUGAGUGCUUUGGGGUGGGGUGACUGCGUACCUUUUGUAUAAUGGGUCAGCGACUUAUAUUCUGUAGCAAGGUUAACCGAAUAGGGGAGCCGGAGGGAAACCGAGUCUUAAUUGGGCGUUAAGUUGCAGGGUAUAGACCCGAAACCCGGUGAUCUAGCCAUGGGCAGGUUGAAGGUUGGGUAACACUAACUGGAGGACCGAACCGACUAAUGUUGAAAAAUUAGCGGAUGACCUGUGGCUGGGGGUGAAAGGCCAAUCAAACCGGGAGAUAGCUGGUUCUCCCCGAAAGCUAUUUAGGUAGCGCCUCGUGAAUUCAUCUCCGGGGGUAGAGCACUGUUUCGGCUAGGGGGCCAUCCCGGCUUACCAACCCGAUGCAAACUGCGAAUACCGGAGAAUGUUAUCACGGGAGACACACGGCGGGUGCUAACGUCCGUCGUGAAGAGGGAAACAACCCAGACCGCCAGCUAAGGUCCCAAAGUCAUGGUUAAGUGGGAAACGAUGUGGGAAGGCCCAGACAGCCAGGAUGUUGGCUUAGAAGCAGCCAUCAUUUAAAGAAAGCGUAAUAGCUCACUGGUCGAGUCGGCCUGCGCGGAAGAUGUAACGGGGCUAAACCAUGCACCGAAGCUGCGGCAGCGA